rnacentral:rRNA from 2 species
UGGCGAUAGCGAAGAGGUCACACCCGUUCCCAUGCCGAACACGGAAGUUAAGCUCUUCAGCGCCGAUGGUAGUCGGGGGUUUCCCCCUGUGAGAGUAGGACGCCGCCAAGC